GAGUUUGAUUCCUGGCUCAGGACGAACGCUGGCGGCGUGCCUAAUACAUGCAAGUCGAACGAACUCUGGUAUUGAUUGGUGCUUGCAUCAUGAUUUACAUUUGAGUGAGUGGCGAACUGGUGAGUAACACGUGGGAAACCUGCCCAGAAGCGGGGGAUAACACCUGGAAACAGAUGCUAAUACCGCAUAACAACUUGGACCGCAUGGUCCGAGCUUGAAAGAUGGCUUCGGCUAUCACUUUUGGAUGGUCCCGCGGCGUAUUAGCUAGAUGGUGGGGUAACGGCUCACCAUGGCAAUGAUACGUAGCCGACCUGAGAGGGUAAUCGGCCACAUUGGGACUGAGACACGGCCCAAACUCCUACGGGAGGCAGCAGUAGGGAAUCUUCCACAAUGGACGAAAGUCUGAUGGAGCAACGCCGCGUGAGUGAAGAAGGGUUUCGGCUCGUAAAACUCUGUUGUUAAAGAAGAACAUAUCUGAGAGUAACUGUUCAGGUAUUGACGGUAUUUAACCAGAAAGCCACGGCUAACUACGUGCCAGCAGCCGCGGUAAUACGUAGGUGGCAAGCGUUGUCCGGAUUUAUUGGGCGUAAAGCGAGCGCAGGCGGUUUUUUAAGUCUGAUGUGAAAGCCUUCGGCUCAACCGAAGAAGUGCAUCGGAAACUGGGAAACUUGAGUGCAGAAGAGGACAGUGGAACUCCAUGUGUAGCGGUGAAAUGCGUAGAUAUAUGGAAGAACACCAGUGGCGAAGGCGGCUGUCUGGUCUGUAACUGACGCUGAGGCUCGAAAGUAUGGGUAGCAAACAGGAUUAGAUACCCUGGUAGUCCAUACCGUAAACGAUGAAUGCUAAGUGUUGGAGGGUUUCCGCCCUUCAGUGCUGCAGCUAACGC
rnacentral:rRNA from 2 species